AGGACGAACGCUGGCGGCGUGCUUAACACAUGCAAGUCGAGCGAGGCUCUCCUUCGGGAGAUGUCCUAGCGGCGAACGGGUGAGUAACACGUGGGCAACCUGCCUCUAGCUCUGGGAUAACUCCGGGAAACCGGGGCUAAUACCGGAUACGACCUCGAGCGGCAUCUAUCGAGGUGGAAAGUUUUUCGGCUAGAGAUGGGCCCGCGGCCUAUCAGCUUGUUGGUGAGGUAACGGCCCACAAGGCGACGACGGGUAGCCGGCCUGAGAGGGCGACCGGCCACGACGUGGGACUGAGACACGGCCCAGACUCCGUACGGGAGGCAGCAGUGGGGAAUAGUUGCGCAAGUGGGACGAAAGCCUGACGCGGCGACGCCGCGUGAGGGAUGAAGGCCUUCGGGUGUAAACCUCUUUCAGCGAGGACGAAGCGACGAAGUGACGGUACUGCAAGAAGAAGCACCGGACCAACGUACGUGACCAGCGACGCCGAC
rnacentral:rRNA from 1 species